rnacentral:rRNA from 1 species
UACGGGGGGGGCAAGCGUUGUUCGGAAUUACUGGGCGUAAAGGGCUCGUAGGCGGCCAACUAAGUCAGACGUGAAAUCCCUCGGCUUAACCGGGGAACUGCGUCUGAUACUGGAUGGCUAGAGUUUGGGAGAGGGAUGCGGAAUUCCAGGUGUAGCGGUGAAAUGCGUAGAUAUCUGGAGGAACACCGGUGGCGAAGGCGGCAUCCUGGACCAACACUGACGCUGAGGCGCGAAAGCCAGGGGAGCGAACGGG